rnacentral:rRNA from 1 species
GACGAACGCUGGCGGCGUGUCUAAUACAUGCAAGUUGAGCGAUGAAGAUUGGUGCUUGCACCAAUUUGAAGAGCAGCGAACGGGUGAGUAACGCGUGGGGAAUCUGCCUUUGAGCGGGGGACAACAUUUGGAAACGAAUGCUAAUACCGCAUAAUAACUUUAAACAUAAGUUUUAAGUUUGAAAGAUGCAAUUGCAUCACUCAAAGAUGAUCCCGCGUUGUAUUAGCUAGUUGGUGAGGUAAAGGCUCACCAAGGCGAUGAUACAUAGCCGACCUGAGAGGGUGAUCGGCCACAUUGGGACUGAGACACGGCCCAAACUCCUACGGGAGGCAGCAGUAGGGAAUCUUCGGCAAUGGACGAAAGUCUGACCGAGCAACGCCGCGUGAGUGAAGAAGGUUUUCGGAUCGUAAAACUCUGUUGGUAGAGAAGAACGUUGGUGAGAGUGGAAAGCUCAUCAAGUGACGGUAACUACCCAGAAAGGGACGGCUAACUACGUG